UCCCCAUCCCCCGCUUUUUGUUGUUCUUGUGUUGUUAUUGUUGUUGUUGUUAGGGUCUUACAAUGUUGUCAACCUUGGCUGGCCUGGAGUCCUCUAUUUAGACCAGGCUGGCUUCAUACUUAGAGAUCUGCCCCUGCCUCUCGAUGACUGGACUAUCUUUCCUGAUAGGGUAGAAUAAUGAGAAGACAGAGGAUGCAGAGGGUUGAAAACACCUGGGGCCAGUGGAAUGGAAAUGGACAGACUGGGCUCGGCAGAAGGAGAACAGCUUUCAAUGACUUGCUGUGAUGCCCCUACAGCCUAGCAUCCAGCCUUCUUUACUCGGGUGCUUUGGCUGCAUGUAUGCCCGCAGACCAGAAGAGGACAUCCGACUGUGAGCUGCCUGGGAAUUGAACUUGGAUCCUCUGGGAGAGCAGCCACUGCUCUUAAGCCCUGGGCUGUCCCUCAAGCUCCACUUGUCUUCUUGGUGUGUGUGUCUCCUAGGUCACGCACCACACAUGUGUAUAUGUGUGUACCCACAAACACACACAUAGUAUGUGUGACAUGAAAGUAGAAGCAGGAUGGGACUAGAGGAAUUAAAGAGGUUGGGGGGGCAGAGGAGGGGGACAAGGAAAGUACGGGGAUAAAUAUGGUCAAAGCACACGAUGUGCUUGUAGGAAAUUGUUUCUGUGGAAACCACCAAACCAUCACUAUGUACAAUGAAUGUAUGUCAAUUAGAAAAAAAAAUAGUGUUGGGAUGUGACCAGCUGUUGAGCAACCAUCCUGCCCGCUUGCCGUGUGACAUUGAUGCAGUUGGCUGACAGGCUAUGCUCUGUUUAGAGACCCACGGAGGAAACUGAGGGGGACCAGCAGCCAACAGCCCCGGGGGGAAACUGAAGUCUCAGUCCGUUGGCCAGUGAGGAACUGAAUCCUUCCAGCAAACAUGUAAAUGAGCUGGGGAGUUAAUUCAUCCUAGUUAGACCUUGGGAGACCUUUGAUC